ensembl:snoRNA
UUAAAAUGAUGAUUAAAUGUCUGACCUGAAAUCACAUGUGGAUUCUUUGCACUGAAAAC